CCUACGGGCGGCAGCAGUGAGGAAUAUUGGUCAAUGGCCGCAGGGCUGAACCAGCAAAGUCGCGUGAGGGAUGACGGUCCUAUGGAUUGUAAACCUCUUUUGUCAGGGAGCAAAGGGCGCCACGUGUGGCGCUUUGCGAGUACCUGAAGAAAAAGCAUCGGCUAACUCCGUGCCAGCAGCCGCGGUAAUACGGAGGAUUCGAGCGUUAUCCGGAUUUAUUGGGUUUAAAGGGUGCGCAGGCGGAAGGUCAAGUCAGCGGUAAAAUUUCGGGGCUCAACCCCGUCGUGCCGUUGAAACUGGCGUUCUUGAGUGAGCGAGAAGUAUGCGGAAUGCGUGGUGUAGCGGUGAAAUGCAUAGAUAUCACGCAGAACGCCGAUUGCGAAGGCAGCAUACCGGCGCUCAACUGACGCUCAUGCACGAAAGCGUGGGUAUCGAACAGGAUUAGAUACCCGGGUAGUC
rnacentral:rRNA from 1 species